UACCGCCGCAGAGAAAAAAAAGCGUCUAAAAAGCCUGGGUUACUAAAGUUCAUGCCUGCAUUAUCACAGCAGCGCAAAUUUCUGCUUUUACGGGUCUGAGCGAGCAAGUUCAAGUUCAAGGCGACACGAGGGUCGUGUGUCCGAGGUUUGCAAACGAAAACGAAAUUGGAUGCAGAGGUAUCAGCGCAUGAAGGAACCGGGUGUCUGUUGGGGGCGCUGUGGAGCUCUGGAGACACGUGAGAGACACUGCGCACGACAUUUUGACGGUUGCCAGUGGAGAAAAAAAUCACCAAUCAGUGAACGGAGGUGUGUAGAAACAGCCAAUCAGAAUGAAUGCAAGGGUGUUGCUAGGAGAUAGGGUGAUGUCAGGACAAUGCAGUGGGAGGAGCGGAAUCCUACACCUGCUGAGGCUGUGAUGUCAUCACGAGGGGCCGGACUGCGCAGGGUAACUGCAGUUCAGUUGAACAGAUACUACACAGAAUGCAUGGUACUAAAACAAUACAUAUCUGACUACAUUUAAUGCAUAUUUUGCAUGAAUUCUGCAAAGGGAAAUUUUUUUACCGAAUGGUCACAUCCCUAUUUAAAGUUGUAUUGAUAAAUUGAAUCUACAUUAUCUGUACUACAUUUAUAUUGCUCGUUCUUCUCAUCUUAGGUGCUUUUUAUUGAAAGACUCGCUCGUCUAUUGGUCAAAUUAUGCAGUAAUUUAUUAAAACAUUUACAAAAGGACGUGUCUUUUUAGCAGGUGCAAAUGUUGUCUGGUUUUGUUUCUUCUUUUCCUGGAGUGAUGCUUUUGUGCCCUCCACACUGACCGGUGGAGCAGGAGGCUGAUUAAUGUCUGGGUGUCCUCUGUUUGCUGUAGCCUCUCUACCUGAGAGAACAAUAUGACAAGGGGUUAAAUCUUUAAUUUUACAAUUGUUAACCCCAUGUAAUGUGGUAGCUGCAAGUCAGUACCGGUAAUGAAAACAUUUGUUCCCUGAAGCUAUGAGGCAUCACUGUGAUCGUGAGAAAAACACUUGACGGAAGAGUGCUUCAGUUAAAAUUAUGUAAACAGCAAAAUGGCAUCACUUCGUCCAGAUCUAUUUAGUGGUUAAAUUAUUAAACAAAAAGUAUAACACAAAGAAUGAAAAUAAAUCACUAUAUAUAUAUAUAAAAAACAACAAACCUUUUUAUAUAAUAAACAAUGCUAUAAUUCAAAAAUUUUAAAAUUUCCUAAAUGUUUUUAAAAAAAUUUUUGGUAGUGAUUAAAGCAAAAAGAAAAACCCUAAACAUCUGAACGUUUAGAAUAUUUUGACCUUUUUAAGAAAAGGCAUGUUAAAUUUGUGUUUUACAUGUGCGUUUAAAAUUUCACAUUAAUUUUUACAAAGAUUUCUUAUAUCCUCUCAUAUUCUUAUUUGCCACUGACCCAAAUAGAGGUCAACGACACAGUAAUAUCAGAUAUUAGCAUCUUUAAUCUUUCUGACAGAGGUGCAAAAACCAAAACACUUUACUUGUACAUGUGAGUGAUGCUGAAAUGCUUUUUAAGUAAAUACAGUUUGAUAUUUGUACCAAAUGAUGUACUGUGAAGCAACGCAGACACUGAACCUUUGAUUGCAUGAUCACAGAGCUGCCUCUGCAAGUACCUGUUUCAGUGCCAAGGUUUUCAAAUGAUGCAAAUGUCCAGGGUACAGAGAGGUAAAAAUCAUGUCUGGUAUAUUUUUAGCCAACUGGACUUUGUUUUCAAUUUUUUUGAUAUUUGCCACUCCUCUGAAUGGCUUCAUCAGGUGUCUGAUGAAACUGAUGUACCACUAUGAAGUGAUUAAAGAGUUACAAAAAGA